AUGAGAUAUGAUGAUGUUUAUCCAUAGCGUCUGUAAUUGGAUGAUGAUCAUUAUAACAUGCACUACCAUCUGAUCUCUU